GAUGAACGCUAGCGACAGACCUAACACAUGCAAGUCGAGGGGCAGCACGGUGUAGCAAUACACGGGUGGCGACCGGCGCACGGGUGAGUAACGCGUAUGCAACCUGCCUACUACAAGGGGAUAACCCGUUGAAAGACGGACUAAUACCCUAUAACACAGGGAAUCCGCAUGGAUAUAUUUGUUAAAGAUUUAUCGGUAGUAGAUGGGCAUGCGUUCCAUUAGCUUGUUGGUGAGGUAACGGCUCACCAAGGCAACGAUGGAUAGGGGAACUGAGAGGUUGAUCCCCCACACUGGAACUGAGACACGGUCCAGACUCCUACGGGAGGCAGCAGUGAGGAAUAUUGGUCAAUGGACGAGAGUCUGAACCAGCCAAGUCGCGUGAAGGAAGACGGCCCUACGGGUUGUAAACUUCUUUUGUAAGGGAAUAAAUAGUCUUACGAGCUAAGACGUUGCAGGUACCUUACGAAUAAGGAUCGGCUAACUCCGUGCCAGCAGCCGCGGUAAUACGGAGGAUCCGAGCGUUAUCCGGAUUUAUUGGGUUUAAAGGGUGCGCAGGCGGCAUGUUAAGUCGGCGGUGAAAUUUUGCAGCUCAACUGUAAAAGAGCCUUCGAAACUGGCAAGCUUGAGUGUGGAUGAAGUAGGCGGAAUUUGUGGUGUAGCGGUGAAAUGCAUAGAUAUCACAAAGAACACCGAUUGCGCAAGCAGCUUACUAAACCAUAACUGACGCCCAUGCACGAAGGCGUGGGGAUCAAACAGGAUUAGAUACCCUGGUAGUCCACGCAGUAAACGAUGAUUACUGGCUGUUUGCGAUACAAUGUAAGCGGCUGAGCGAAAGCGUUAAGUAAUCCACCUGGGGAGUACGUUCGCAAGAAUGAAACUCAAAGGAAUUGACGGGGGCCCGCACAAGCGGAGGAACAUGUGGUUUAAUUCGAAGCAACGCGAAGAACCUUACCAGGUCUUGACAUCCCUCUGACCGGCCCGUAACGGGGCCUUUCCUUCGGGACAGAGGAGACAGGUGGUGCAUGGUUGUCGUCAGCUCGUGUCGUGAGAUGUUGGGUUAAGUCCCGCAACGAGCGCAACCCUUAUCCUUAGUAGCCAGCAGGUAAAGCUGGGCACUCUAGGGAGACUGCCGGGGAUAACCCGGAGGAAGGCGGGGAUGACGUCAAAUCAUCAUGCCCCUUAUGAUUUGGGCUACACACGUGCUACAAUGGCGUAAACAAAGGGAAGCGAGACAGUGAUGUUGAGCAAAUCCCAGAAAUAACGUCUCAGUUCGGAUUGUAGUCUGCAACUCGACUACAUGAAGCUGGAAUCGCUAGUAAUCGCGAAUCAGCAUGUCGCGGUGAAUACGUUCCCGGGUCUUGUACACACCGCCCGUCACACCAUGGGAGUUGGAAAUGCCCGAAGCCUGUGACCUAACCGCAAGGGAGGAGCAGUCGAAGGCAGGUCUAAUAACUGGGGUG
rnacentral:rRNA from 1 species